GACGAACGCUGGCGGCGUGCUUAACACAUGCAAGUCGAACGGAAAUGCCCUGCUUUUGUGGGGUGCUCGAGUGGCGAACGGGUGAGUAACACGUGAGUAACCUGCCCUUGACUUUGGGAUAACUUCAGGAAACUGGUGCUAAUACCGGAUAGGAGCUCCUGCUGCAUGGUGGUGGUUGGAAAGUUUCGGCGGUUGGGGAUGGACUCGCGGCUUAUCAGCUUGUUGGUGGGGUAGUGGCUUACCAAGGCUUUGACGGGUAGCCGGCCUGAGAGGGUGACCGGCCACAUUGGGACUGAGAUACGGCACAGACUCCUACGGGAGGCAGCAGUGGGGAAUAUUGCACAAUGGGCGGAAGCCUGAUGCAGCAACGCCGCGUGCGGGAUGACGGCCGUCGGGUUGUAAACCGCUUUCGCAUGUGACGAAGCGUGAGUGACGGUAAUGGGUAAAGAAGCACCGGCUAACUACGUG
rnacentral:rRNA from 1 species